AGUGGACGCAUCACUGGUGUUCGGGUUGUCAUGCCAAUGGCAUUGCCCGGUAGCUAAAUGCGGAAAAGAUAAGUGCUGAAAGCAUCUAAGCACGAAACUUGCCCCGAGAUGAGUUCUCCCUGACUCCUUGAGAGUCCUGAAGGAACGUUGAAGACUACGACGUUGAUAGGUCGGAUGUGUAAGCGUAGCGAUACGUUGAGCUAACCGAUACUAAUGAACCGUGAGGCUUAACCUU
rnacentral:rRNA from 1 species